UACGUAGGGUGCAAGCGUUAAUCGGAAUUACUGGGCGUAAAGCGUGCGCAGGCGGUUUUGCAAGACAGAUGUGAAAUCCCCGGGCUCAACCUGGGAACUGCAUUUGUGACUGCACGGCUAGAGUGUGUCAGAGGGGGGUAGAAUUCCACGUGUAGCAGUGAAAUGCGUAGAUAUGUGGAGGAAUACCGAUGGCGAAGGCAGCCCCCUGGGAUAACACUGACGCUCAUGCGCGACAGCGUGGGGAGCAAACAGG
rnacentral:rRNA from 1 species